rnacentral:tRNA from 1 species
GCCUGGGUGGCUCAGUCAAUUGAGCGUCCGACUUCGGCUCAGGUCAUGAUCUCACAAUUUGUGGGUUCGAGCCCCACAUCGGGCU